rnacentral:rRNA from 1 species
AGCAGCCGCGGGAAUACGUAGGUGGCAAGCGUUGUCCGGAAUUAUUGUGCGUAAAGGGCUCGCAGGCGGUUUCUUAAGUCUGAUGUGAAAGCCCCCGGCUCAACCGGGGAGGGUCAUUGGAAACUGGGAAACUUGAGUGCAGAAGAGGAGAGUGGAAUUCCUCGUGUAGCGGUGAAAUGCGUAGAGAUGUGGAGGAACACCAGUGGCGAAGGCGACUCCCUGGUCUGUAACUGACGCUGAGGAGCGAAAGCGUGGGCAGCGAACAGGAUUAGAUACCCCCGUAGUCCCUGUCUCUUUACAC